rnacentral:rRNA from 1 species
UAAGCCAUGCAUGUCUAAGUCCAAGCUGUGUGUUUGUGGGUGAAAGCUCGCACACACGGCGAAACCGCGGACGGCUCAUUAAAUCAGUUGUGGUCCAAAUGGGCUAGCGUUAUCUUACUUGGAUAACUGUGGUAAUUCCAGAGCUAAUACAUGCAACAGAUAGUUCGAACGACGUGUUUGUUGGGCAGGGGUCUCUCUGCCUUUCAUUCUUUCGUUGUAAGGACUGCUUUUAUUAGACCAAAACCGCAUAGGGAGUGAGAGUGUUUUAUCUUUUGCUCCUGACGACUCGUGUAAUGGUGACUCUGGAUAACAAUUUAUGACAAGCGCACGUAUCCAUUCAUAUGGGACGGCGCUUCCACUUUCGAGUGUCUGACUUAUCAGCUAUGAAUCGUUCGUUAUGUGCUACCGAUGGCUUUGACGGGUAACGGGGAAUCAGGGUUUGAUUCCGGAGAGGCAGCCUGAGAAACGGCUACCACGUCCAAGGACGGCAGCAGGCACGCAAAUUACCCAAUCCCAGCUACUGGGGGAGGUAGUGACGAAAUCUAACGAUGCGGGCGCCCCUUCUGGGGCCCCGCAAUCGGAAUGAGCAUUUUCUUUCUAAACACCCUGUUGAGAACCCACUGAAGGGCAAGUCUGGUGCCAGCAGCCGCGGUAAUUCCAGCUUCAGCAGCAUAUACUAAAGUUGCUGCGGUUAAAAGGCUCGCAGUUGAAUGUCAGUACCAAGUGUAGCGAUGGUGGACGUUGGGGUGUGGGAUCGGUCCCUCGUUAUUGCUGUGUUUGUGCGUUCGCUUUGCGGCGUGCGUAUAUAUCAUGGCUACGCGAGUGUGGUCGUUCUCCAUCUAUAGCCCCCGUCCGUAAACAGCCUCCUCACUUUCGUACAAAAUGGAAUCUAUACGUUUUAAAGUAUUGAGUUUCUUUGGCUUUACUAUUGCGUCGCGUACUUUACUGUGCGUGGCGUGGUUUGGUCUUUGAUUCUUGUGCCCGGGAAUAUGGUCCCAAUGUUACCUUGAGUAAAUUGGAGUGCUCAAAGCAGUCGUAAGGAAUGUGCAGUUAACGCUGUACGUUCUGUGAUGAAUGUCUUCGGACAGACAGUCUUGGUUUUGCAUGGUAUGUCGAAAGACGCCGUAUAAUCUCCUGUUGGUAACGAGUCUGGGGCGGGCUCGUACCUUAGACACGCGCGCUCAUACUCUUUCGGGGGUGUGUCUGUGUGUUGUUGAGAGAGUGCGACAUAUGAGACCAACAGGUACGGAAUGAUUAAAAGGCUCGGUCGAGGGUAUCGGUAUUGCGAGGCGAGAGGUGAAAUUCUAUGACCCCCGCAAGACCUCCUGAAGCGAAAGCGUCUGCCAUGGACGUUUUCAUAAUCAGGCGUGGCCCUGCGGCUUAUUUGACUCAACACGGGCCAUCUCACCAGGCCAGCACUCUUGUAUGAUUGACAGAUUGAAAGUUCUUUCUCGAUUCAGUGGAUGGUGGUGCAUGGCCGUUCUUAGUUGGUGGAGUGAUCUGUCUGGUUAAUUCCGAUAACGAACGAGACUCUCCCCUGCUAACUAGUCGGUUGGAUCUUGCGUCUGGAGAGUUGUGUAUUCGCUUGCGCUCGUUCGUUGCUUUCAUUGGGUAUUUGUGUGUGUUGCUCCUCCGUGGGUGAUAUAUAUUUUAUUCGAUGUUUAGUGUACUUACGCGGUGUCUUUGUGUUUCACACUCCAAGUCCGCCGCUUAUUCAAAAUGUGAUGUCUAACAGCAAAGCGAUAUAUGUGUAAAACUCUUCUUAGAGGGAUUCACGGUUCUGAAACCGUAAGAAACUGAGAGCAAUAACAGGUCUGUGAUGCCCUUAGAUGUUCUGGGCCGCACGCGCGCUACAAUGCCGGGCUCAGCAGGUACUUAUCCUUCUCCGAGAGGAGUGGGUAAUCCUCUGAAAGCCCUUCAAACAAUAUUCAAAGGCUUACGUCUCUCACGUGUUAUGCGCGAGAACGUGAUCUCUUCCUUGGCUUGCUUGGGCCUGGGGCUUGCAAUUCUUUCCCACAAACGAGGAAUGCCUAGUAGCGGCGGAUCACGGAGUUCGCUGUGACUCAGUCCCUGCCCUUUGUACACACCGCCCGUCGCUACUACCGAUUGGGUGUACCAGUGAGAUCUUUGGACUGGCGAGCCUUGUGUUCUUUACCGAGCGCAAGUGUGUACGACGGGAAGAGGCUCGAACUGGUGCACUUAGAGGUANGUNAAAGU